UUCGCCGAUCGCCUUGAGUUUGAUAUGGCUCAGAAUCAACGCUGGCGGCGUGCCUCAGACAUGCAAGUCGAACGCGAAAGUCCCCUUCGGGGGAUGAGUAGAGUGGCGUCCGGGUGAGUAACACGUGGGUAAUCUACCUUCGGGUGGGGAAUAACAGUCGGAAACGACUGCUAAUACCGCAUAAUGCAGCGGCACCUAAUGGUGACAGUUGUUAAAGCGGGGGAUCGCAAGACCUCGCGCCUGAAGAGGAGCCCGCGGCGGAUUAGCUAGUUGGCAGGGUAACGGCCUACCAAGGCGACGAUCCGUAGCCGGCCUGAGAGGGCGGUCGGCCACACUGGCACUGACAUACGGGCCAGACUCCUACGGGAGGCAGCAGUCGGGAAUUUUGGGCAAUGGGCGAAAGCCUGACCCAGCAACGCCGCGUGAAGGAUGAAGUAUUUCGGUAUGUAAACUUCACAAGAAUGGGAAGAAUAAGUGGGGGAUAAUACCCCCCAUGAUGACGGUACCAUUUGUAAGCUCCGGCUAACUCCGUGCCAGCAGCCGCGGUAAUACGGGGGGAGCAAGCGUUGUUCGGAUUUACUGGGCGUAAAGGGCGCGUAGGCGGCGUAACAAGUCACUUGUGAAAUCUCCGGGCUUAACUCGGAGCGGCCAAGUGAUACUGUUGUGCUAGAGUGCGGAAGGGGCUACUGGAAUUCUCGGUGUAGCGGUGAAAUGCGUAGAUAUCGAGAGGAACACCUGCGGCGAAAGCNGGUAGCUGGGCCGAC
rnacentral:rRNA from 1 species